rnacentral:tRNA from 1 species
GCGGCGGUAGCUCAGCGGGAGAGCACCACCCUGACACGGUGGGGGUCACAGGUUCGAUCCCUGUUCGCCGCA